AUGAGCCUGAUACUCUACUAUUUGUAGCUUGCCGUAAGGAUCAACGUAACUGUAGUAACCUAUGACGUUUCCGUAUCCAUCUCGUUCUUCGUAGCGGCUUUGAGGAUUGUAAAGAUCAGCAGUAUCGUAGCCGAAACGAUGAUCACCUGGUUCUUCGAAACUACAGAUGACGAUCCAGAGUGCUUUGAUUUGGCGCCAAAUUAGUCGUGUGCAACGACGUGGAGCGAUGAACGAUUCAGGCCACUGGCUCCGAUUGUAUCUUUUCUGUAGUCUUGCACCAUCAGAGCGGCUUACCUCGAAAAUAGCAAGUAAAACUGAUAAGUAUGCAUUAUGAAGAAAACGCAUUCCUGAGUUUUGGAUUGAGGUUUCAAUAUGCUAUAAUUAGCUGAACAGAUUCACCCAUCUACCAGCAAUUUGAUGUAUUCAUUUUACUAUAGCUUAUGCAAAUUCCUCGAUUUAUCUAAUUAUUGGGGCAGAAACAACCACAGGCCGACGUAGUUUAACACAACCGGCCUGAUGAGUUCUGGAUUGAGCGAAACGCUUCGUCGGCAGUGGAUAUGGUGAACAGUGUGGUUGGAAUACUGUUAUUAUACACUCUUCUAAUUCUUGGAAAUUCUUAAAGGAAUAAAUA